rnacentral:rRNA from 1 species
UACGUAGGUGGCAAGCGUUGUCCGGAAUUAUUGGGCGUAAAGUGCGCGCAGGCGGCCUCUUAAGUCUGAUGUGAAAGCCCCCGGCUCAACCGGGGGAGGGCCAUUGGAAACUGGGAGGCUUGAGUAUAGGAGAGAAGAGUGGAAUUCCACGGUGUAGCGGGUGAAAAUGCGUAGGGAUGUGGAGGAACACCGAGUGGGCGAAGGCGACUCUUUG